ACCCAGUGCCCCUGGCCUUUGCCUUCCGUAUAGUUACCAUUUUUUAGGGCACACUACGUGUCAACAGGGUCACUUUUCCAGAGAUACGGAAGCAGAAGUUUGGUGCCUAGGAUCACCCAGGGGGCCCAGGCUUAUCUGACACUAAACCGAGCCCUGUGUGUAGCUUCAGUCCGUCCCCCAGCCUCUCACAAAGAUGAGCAGUGCCGCGUAGUCACCAUCCACCUUAAAAGCAUGAAAAGAUUGGAGAUGCAAGUUAAAAGAAAAGAUUUCUCGGAACAGAGUUGAAGUGCUGUGGCAUUUUCCCUCUCUCAAGGGAGAAGGGUUUCCAGCGAAAUCUCUGAGCAAACAUUUGAUCUCAGAGUUUGGGAAAUAUAAGGACUGCUCUGGGAAGCUGUGCCUAGGAGGACCUGCAGUGGCAGGGCAGGAAAGGAGACAGAAGGAGAGAGAAGGCUGCUGUGGGAGCUAACUGCAUUUCCUGCAACUGUCAGGGAGACGUGUGACUUUUUCCUGCCAAGGGAUAAAUGGAUCUGUGGAGAGUGGACUAGAAGCUUUCUUCAGAGGGAAUGUGCUCACCUGGAGGAGCUAAAUGAUUCAGCAGGCAGACCCCGAAAGAACCCUGGGCUAUCCAUACCUUCUAACUGAAGGAGAAAUAAACACCCACUUCACAUGAGUUGUGCUUGGAGGAUGCCAGCAGGAGAAUCUUCACGAUAUCCCCCAAAAGUACUCUCUGCAAGAAAGAAUCAGCCUUGAGCAUGCCUGAGCCAGAGAGCAGCAGAACUGGAUCACUCCAGUACCAGCCAGUGACCAGAAAAGCUCUGGAAGAUGCUAGAGACUUCAUCUAGGUCAGGGAAAAAACCCGCAGAGAUGGUUUCAAGGGUUUAGGAAGAAGAAAACAAUCAUCUUUCCAGACUUCUUUGUAGAGAGACAGCCCAGAGCUCAGUUCUGCCUAGAGAGAUAGAAAGGGCGGUCCCCAGUUGGGACUUGUAGGAAUGCUCUUUAAAAGAGAAAGAUCUGGCUGACAUGCACUCUCCUUACUCCUGGAACAUUGACAUGAUACUUGGAAAGACAACAAUGAGCCACGAAGAUAAAAGCUUCACACCAAGACUACCGAACCAGAGAAUAUAAGGAGAUUAGAUCCUGAAUAAUGAUGCUGAUCCCAGGUAUGUCUACCUCUGGACCUCUUGUAGCUAGAGAAUGCCUCACUUAGUUAAGCCACAUUAAAUUUUCUCUUGUCUGCAGCCCAAUAUAUUCCUAAGAGGUACAGAAAAGAAAGGAGAUAAAGAAAUUCAUCAAUAUGGAUUUCAUGUAAUGAAUCUUUCAGAAAAAAAUUUCAAAUGUUCCAUAAUAGAGCAAUAAGCAACCUAUUGUGACUACAAGGAGGAGAAGAAAUUUGGCCUGGGUUGUGAUGGCACCAUCAAAAAUGAUCCUUGAGUGUGUGGUCAUUUCCUCACAACCAAAAAUGAAGAUGAAAUGUGCUAUAUAUAACGGAAGAUGUGGCUCUGUACCAGCCUAGGAGAUAUAAAUAAAAUUAGGUUGUUUAUCCUUUCAUUGACAUCCAUCCCCCUCGCAGUCCACUUCCUAGCUCUUUUUGGGACAAGAUAAAGCAAACUGCCUAGUUUCUGAGGAUUUAGCCACUGAGAAGAAGGAAGUAGCAUGAAAGAAAAGUUGU